ACGCACGCUGGCGGCGUGCUUAACACAUGCAAGUCGAACGGUGAAGCGCCUUCCUUUUUGGUGGGUGUGGAUGAGUGGCGAACGGGUGAGUAACACGUGAGUAACCUGCCCCCUUCUUCUGGAUAACCGCAUGAAAGUGUGGCUAAUACGGGAUAUUCUGGGUCUGUCGCAUGAUGGGUCUGGGAAAGAUAUUGUUUCGGUGGGGGAUGGGCUCGCGGCCUAUCAGCUUGUUGGUGGGGUGAUGGCCUACCAAGGCGGUGACGGGUAGCCGGCCUGAGAGGGUGGACGGUCACACUGGGACUGAGACACGGCCCAGACCCCUACGGGAGGCAGCAGUGGGGAAUAUUGCACAAUGGGCGCAAGCCUGAUGCAGCGACGCCGCGUGAGGGAUGGAGGCCUUCGGGUUGUGAACCUCUUUCGCCAGUGAAGCAGGCCUGCCUCGUUUGUGGGUGGGUUGACGGUAGCUGGAUAAGAAGCGCCGGCUAACUACGUG
rnacentral:rRNA from 1 species